rnacentral:tRNA from 1 species
GGGGUUGUAGCUCAGCAGUAGAGUGCUCGCCUAGCAAAUAAGAGGUCCUGGGUUCAAUCCUCGGCACCACCU